rnacentral:rRNA from 1 species
UACAUGCAAGUCGAUCGCACUACUCGGUAGUGAGAGGCGAACGGGUGAGUAACACGUAGGGUAACAUAUCUAGUAUGACGAGGAUAACGGUUGGAAACGACUGCUAAGACUGGAUAGGAGUAGAGGAGGCAUCUCUUUACUUUAAAGGACUUUUCGGAGUACGCGUAUGGAGUGACCUGCGGCGCAUUAGUAGUUGGUGGGGUAGUGGCCUACCAAGACGAUGAUGCGUAGCCGGACUGAGAGGUUGAACGGCCACAUUGGGACUGAGACACGGCCCAGACUCCUACGGGAGGCAGCAGUAGGGAAUUUUCGGCAAUGGGGGGAACCCUGACCGAGCCAACGCCGCGUGAAUGACGAAGUACUUCGGUAUGUAAAGUUCUUUUAUUAAGGAAGAAAGUGCAGUGGAAAAACUGUAUAGACGGUACUUAUUGAAUAAGCCCCGGCUAACUAUGUGCCAGCCGCCGC